UCAGACUACUGAAUGGGAUCGAC
rnacentral:miRNA from 1 species